rnacentral:rRNA from 1 species
GAUUAAGUUAUUAAGGGCGCACGGUGGAUGCCUUGGCACUAGAAGCCGAUGAAGGACGUUACUAACGACGAUAUGCUUUGGGGAGCUGUAAGUAAGCUUUGAUCCAGAGAUUUCCGAAUGGGGAAACCCAGCAUGAGUUAUGUCAUGUUAUCGAUAUGUGAAUACAUAGCAUAUCAGAAGGCACACCCGGAGAACUGAAACAUCUUAGUACCCGGAGGAAGAGAAAGAAAAUUCGAUUCCCUUAGUAGCGGCGAGCGAAACGGGAAGAGCCCAAACCAACAAGCUUGCUUGUUGGGGUUGUAGGACACUCUAUACGGAGUUACAAAGGACGACAUUAGACGAAUCAUCUGGAAAGAUGAAUCAAAGAAGGUAAUAAUCCUGUAGUCGAAAAUGUUGUCUCUCUUGAGUGGAUCCUGAGUACGACGGAGCACGUGAAAUUCCGUCGGAAUCUGGGAGGACCAUCUCCUAAGGCUAAAUACUCUCUAGUGACCGAUAGUGAACCAGUACCGUGAGGGAAAGGUGAAAAGCACCCCGGAAGGGGAGUGAAAUAGAACCUGAAACCGUGUGCUUACAAGUAGUCAGAGCCCGUUAAUGGGUGAUGGCGUGCCUUUUGUAGAAUGAACCGGCGAGUUACGAUUUGAUGCAAGGUUAAGCAGUAAAUGUGGAGCCGUAGCGAAAGCGAGUCUGAAUAGGGCGUUUAGUAUUUGGUCGUAGACCCGAAACCAGGUGAUCUACCCUUGGUCAGGUUGAAGUUCAGGUAACACUGAAUGGAGGACCGAACCGACUUACGUUGAAAAGUGAGCGGAUGAACUGAGGGUAGCGGAGAAAUUCCAAUCGAACCUGGAGAUAGCUGGUUCUCUCCGAAAUAGCUUUAGGGCUAGCCUCAAGUGAUGAUUAUUGGAGGUAGAGCACUGUUUGGACGAGGGGCCCCUCUCGGGUUACCGAAUUCAGACAAACUCCGAAUGCCAAUUAAUUUAACUUGGGAGUCAGAACAUGGGUGAUAAGGUCCGUGUUCGAAAGGGAAACAGCCCAGACCACCAGCUAAGGUCCCAAAAUAUAUGUUAAGUGGAAAAGGAUGUGGCGUUGCCCAGACAACUAGGAUGUUGGCUUAGAAGCAGCCAUCAUUUAAAGAGUGCGUAAUAGCUCACUAGUCGAGUGACACUGCGCCGAAAAUGUACCGGGGCUAAACAUAUUACCGAAGCUGUGGAUUGUCCUUUGGACAAUGGUAGGAGAGCGUUCUAAGGGCGUUGAAGCAUGAUCGUAAGGACAUGUGGAGCGCUUAGAAGUGAGAAUGCCGGUGUGAGUAGCGAAAGACGGGUGAGAAUCCCGUCCACCGAUUGACUAAGGUUUCCAGAGGAAGGCUCGUCCGCUCUGGGUUAGUCGGGUCCUAAGCUGAGGCCGACAGGCGUAGGCGAUGGAUAACAGGUUGAUAUUCCUGUACCACCUAUAAUCGUUUUAAUCGAUGGGGGGACGCAGUAGGAUAGGCGAAGCGUGCGAUUGGAUUGCACGUCUAAGCAGUAAGGCUGAGUAUUAGGCAAAUCCGGUACUCGUUAAGGCUGAGCUGUGAUGGGGAGAAGACAUUGUGUCUUCGAGUCGUUGAUUUCACACUGCCGAGAAAAGCCUCUAGAUAGAAAAUAGGUGCCCGUACCGCAAACCGACACAGGUAGUCAAGAUGAGAAUUCUAAGGUGAGCGAGCGAACUCUCGUUAAGGAACUCGGCAAAAUGACCCCGUAACUUCGGGAGAAGGGGUGCUCUUUAGGGUUAACGCCCAGAAGAGCCGCAGUGAAUAGGCCCAAGCGACUGUUUAUCAAAAACACAGGUCUCUGCUAAACCGUAAGGUGAUGUAUAGGGGCUGACGCCUGCCCGGUGCUGGAAGGUUAAGAGGAGUGGUUAGCUUCUGCGAAGCUACGAAUCGAAGCCCCAGUAAACGGCGGCCGUAACUAUAACGGUCCUAAGGUAGCGAAAUUCCUUGUCGGGUAAGUUCCGACCCGCACGAAAGGCGUAACGAUUUGGGCACUGUCUCAACGAGAGACUCGGUGAAAUCAUAGUACCUGUGAAGAUGCAGGUUACCCGCGACAGGACGGAAAGACCCCGUGGAGCUUUACUAUAGCCUGAUAUUGAAAUUCGGCACAGCUUGUACAGGAUAGGUAGGAGCCUUUGAAACGUGAGCGCUAGCUUACGUGGAGGCGCUGGUGGGAUACUACCCUAGCUGUGUUGGCUUUCUAACCCGCACCACUUAUCGUGGUGGGAGACAGUGUCAGGCGGGCAGUUUGACUGGGGCGGUCGCCUCCUAAAAGGUAACGGAGGCGCUCAAAGGUUCCCUCAGAAUGGUUGGAAAUCAUUCAUAGAGUGUAAAGGCAUAAGGGAGCUUGACUGCGAGACCUACAAGUCGAGCAGGGUCGAAAGACGGACUUAGUGAUCCGGUGGUUCCGCAUGGAAGGGCCAUCGCUCAACGGAUAAAAGCUACCCCGGGGAUAACAGGCUUAUCUCCCCCAAGAGUUCACAUCGACGGGGAGGUUUGGCACCUCGAUGUCGGCUCAUCGCAUCCUGGGGCUGUAGUCGGUCCCAAGGGUUGGGCUGUUCGCCCAUUAAAGCGGUACGCGAGCUGGGUUCAGAACGUCGUGAGACAGUUCGGUCCCUAUCCGUCGUGGGCGUAGGAAAUUUGAGAGGAGCUGUCCUUAGUACGAGAGGACCGGGAUGGACAUACCUCUGGUGUACCAGUUGUCGUGCCAACGGCAUAGCUGGGUAGCUAUGUGUGGACGGGAUAAGUGCUGAAAGCAUCUAAGCAUGAAGCCCCCCUCAAGAUGAGAUUUCCCAACUUCGGUUAUAAGAUCCCUCAAAGAUGAUGAGGUUAAUAGGUUCGAGGUGGAAGCAUGGUGACAUGUGGAGCUGACGAAUACUAAUCGAUCGAAGACUUAAUCAA